CUCCCCCUCUCUCUGCCCCUCCCAUGCUCAUGCUCUGUCUCUCUCUGUCUCUCAAUAACAACUAAACGUUAAAAACAAUUAAAAAAGUAAAUAAAAGAUCAUUCUGGAAGCUGUGUGGAGAAAAGAUUGUAGUUGGGCAAGAAUGGAAGCAGGAAGACCAGCUGGGAAGCUUUUUCAGGCAUCUAGACAAGAGAUGACAGCAAUGGAGAUGGGAAAUAGUGGAGAGAUUUGGAUCCUGCUAACGGAUUGGCUUGGAAAGGACAUAGCAUAUAACAAUCUUUUUUCUUGAAAUGCAAGGCUAUAUAAAUAUAUGUACUCUGUAUGUGGCAAGUCAGGGUUUUUUUUUUUUUGUUUGUUUUUUGUUUUUUUUUUUUUUUUCCUGUGCCAUUGGUGGAGAGGGGGAAUUCUUGGCAAGGAAAAGAAAAGAGACAGAGACUUGGUAGCCCAACAAGCACUCAAGUUAUGUUCUGGGAUGCAUUCAACAUAAGCAAUUUUUUCUUAAAUAAAGAAAAAAUAGAUUGCCUUGUAUGUACUCUGCUCUGAAGAUUCUGACAGGCCAAAAGACUCCACUGAGCUCAUGGAAUGGAGGAUGGACCUCUGUCAUGGAACCAAGAGCUGUGCAGAGGAGAAAGUGUGGAAAUGUGGAGGAGGAGCGGUGGAGGAAGGAGAGGAGAAGAAGACGGCUCAGAGCAGGAGGACAAAACUGGGAACGCAUCCAAGACAAGUCUAACCGGGAGAAAUGCAAUGGGGAGACCAGUGUAUGGGCCAACACUCCAGAGAAAGAGCAAAAUCAGAAUUUAAAGGCAGAAGAAUGGAGAAAGAAGAGGCUCCUUGCUUAAGAAAGCCCAAGAAACUGUUACAGCCAAGAGGACCAGAAAAUGGAUGUCAGGAGAUGGAAGCUACUCUUCGUGGGAGCAUAGCAGGAUGCAUAGACUUGCUGAGUCAGUAUGUCCUACACCUGAAAGUAAUGUAACAUUGUGUCACCUAUACUUCAAUGAAAAAAAAAUUUGUGUUUGAAUUUGAAAACUCUCCAUCUGGAAGAGUAAAUAAAAAGUUAUAAUAUGAACCCCA
rnacentral:lncRNA from 1 species